GGGUGUAUAGCUCAGAGGUAGAGCAUUCGACUGCAAAUCGGGAAGUUCCCGGUUCAAACCCGGGUGUCCCCU
rnacentral:tRNA from 1 species